CGCNUUUUAAUGUCAGACCCUUUGAAAACCCCAAGACUUUGNAAAGCGANCGAAGCGGAACAGCUUAAAUUUGAAAUCUGGCCCCGUCCGAGUUUUUAUUUGCAGAGGAUGCUUUUGGCGCCGGCGCCUUCCGAGUUCCCUGGAACGGGACGCCAUAUAGGGUGACAGCCCCNUACCGUUGGACGCCAAGCCUCUGUAAAGCUCCUUCGACGAGUCGAGUAGUUUGGGAAUGCUGCUCAAAACNGGAGGCUAAUGCCUUCUAAAGCUAAAUCCGGCCAGAGACCGAUAGCGCACAAGUAGAGUGAUCGAAAGAUGAAAAGCACUUUCAAAAGAGGGUUAAAUAGCACGUGAAAUUGUUGAAAGGGAAGCGCUUAUGACCAGACUUGCGCCCCGUGAAUCAUCCAGCGUUCUCGCUGGUGCACUUCGCGGGGCCCAGGCCAGCAUCGAUUUUCCCAGGGGGACAAAAGCCGCGGGGACGUAGCUCCUCCGGGAGUGUUAUAGCCCGCGGCACAAUGCCCUUGGGGGGAUCCGAGGUCCGCGCUCCGCAAGGGAUGCUGGCGUAAUGGUCAUUAAGCGACCCGUCUUGAAACACGGACCAAGGAGUCAAAGCAUUAAGGCCAGUGUUUGGGUGCCAAACCCCGCACGCGAAAUGAAAGUGAACGCAGGGUGAGAGCUUUCGGGCAUCAUCGAACCGAUCCUUGAUGUAUUCCGGAUGGAUUUGAGUAAAGAGCCUUUACCGCUUUGGACCCCAAAAGAUGGUGAACUAUGCCUGGAUAGGGGUGAAACCAAAAGAAAACUCUUGGUGGAAGGCUCNCAGCCGGUUCUUGACUUCAAAAUUCGAUCGUCAAUCUUGGGGCAUGGGGGGCGAAAGACUUAAUCCGAACCUUCUAUUAACUGGGUUACGCCCAAAUUUCCCUCAGAUACCAUGGUGGUCCAUUUUAUGAGGGAACGAUGAUUAGGGACUCGGGGGCCCUAUUUAACCUCUUCCAUUUUAAACUUUAAAAUGUUAGAAGCCCUUGUUCUUAAUUGAACCGGCCUUCAAGUUUCACCCUAUGGGCCAUUUGUAACAAACUGGCAUGCCGGAUAACCAACCCGGGUAAGGGCCAUGGACCCUUACA
rnacentral:rRNA from 1 species